CUCAUCCAACCGCUGCAGCAAGUUGGGGCCUCCGUUUGGGGUUCCGUUGUCUCGAUUGUCGCCUCCACUCCUACAUCGUCGUCGCUCGCUCGUCCGCUCGUUCGCUAGCUCGCCGACUGCGACCCUACGUGCCAUUUGUUUUGAAUAAUCCGAAUAAAUUCAACGCGCCCCGAAACUGCAUAUAAAAAUAGCCCAGCCAGCGUGCAAAAUAGCGGGUCGAAAGUCGAAAUAAAAAAAAAAUUGUUAACAAGUGUGCGGAGGCGAUUUUUCCCCAUCUAUACUACUACUAGUUGUUGUUGAAAUUUAAAAAAAAAUUAGAAGAAAAAAAAGCACACACAUAAAACACAUAAAUUUUUGAUUAUUUACGGUGUGUGUGUGGCAUUUAAAGUUUCCCGCAAAAACGUAAAGUUCGUGGCAUCAUGCUGGCCAAAUCAGUUCAAAAACACGCUGGACGUGCCAAGGAGAAGAUUCUACAAAACUUGGGAAAAGUGGAUCGCACCGCAGAUGAAAUCUUCGACGAUCACCUGAACAACUUCAACCGCCAGCAGGCGAGUGCCAACAAACUACAAAAGGAGUUCAACAACUAUAUACGAUGUGUUCGCGCCGCACAAGCCGCCUCCAAGACUCUGAUGGACGCCGUUUGCGAAAUUUAUGAGCCACAAUGGAGCGGAUACGAUGCCCUUCAAGCACAAACCGGCGCCUCGGAGAGCCUGUGGGCGGACUUUGCCCACAAGCUGGGGGACCAAGUGCUCAUUCCCCUCAACACAUACACUGGACAGUUUCCAGAAAUGAAGAAAAAAGUGGAGAAGCGCAAUCGGAAGCUGAUUGAUUACGAUGGACAGCGUCACUCGUUCCAGAAUCUGCAAGCCAAUGCCAACAAGCGCAAAGAUGAUGUCAAGCUAACCAAAGGACGUGAACAGCUGGAGGAGGCCAGACGCACUUAUGAGAUUCUGAACACGGAACUGCACGAUGAACUGCCUGCUUUGUACGAUUCGAGAAUACUGUUUUUGGUUACCAACUUGCAGACCCUUUUCGCCACAGAACAGGUCUUCCACAAUGAAACCUCCAAGAUCUACUCGGAACUAGAGGCUAUUGUCGAUAAACUGGCCACAGAAUCACAGCGCGGAUCGAAUACCCUAAGGAAACAAACUAGCAAUGCCAUCAAGACAUCCAGUCCAGUGCAGUCGCCGGUCAACAAGCUCAACAACGCCAACAUCAACAGCAGCAACUACCAGAAUCAGAUUACCACAAACGGUGGCGGCUCCAGUCUGGCCAACAGCCCCACAUCCACCAACUCUUCGCUGCAAGAGCCGAGAUUUGAUUCAGUUUCUUCAACACCAGAACCGACCCCCGAUUCCCCGGCAGCGCCCAGCAGUCCCACGGAAAACGGUGGUGGUAGGUGGUGGUGGUGCCUCCUCCAAACCAGGGGAGCGUCCCGAGCUGACAGGUCUGAAUGGGUCGAGUGGCAAGGCAACCACCACCACCCAGACCUCACCGACGGAGGAGUCAACCGCAAAGGCGGUAGCGGCAGUGGUGGCGGAUACCGGAGCUGGGGACUUGACAGUACCACCCACCACCACCCCCCAAGUCAAUGGCAACAACAAUGAUCCACCUGCCCACCCGGUGGCAGGUGCAAAGGAAGGUGGCAAGCAACCAAAGGAACUGCCGACCAGCAACAGCAAUGCCGAGGCAGCGGCCGAGGCGGCUGCCAACAAUGGCAACUCGAUCGAGGAGCACAAGCAGAAGAAACUAGAUGCCAACACUGCUGACCUGCCGGCCGGCGUGCUCUACCGCGUCAAGGCCACCUACGGCUACGUCAAGGAGGAUGUGGACGAGCUGAGCUUCGAGAUCGGUGACAUAAUUCGGGUUAUCGAGUACGACGAUCCAGAGGAUCAGGAGGAGGGCUGGCUGAUGGGUCAGAAGGAGGGCACCACCGAGAAGGGACUCUUCCCCGCCAACUUUACGCGUCCCAUCUGAGCCGGAGGACUGGAGAGAUCGAGGAGCAACCGAGCAAGCAACGAACCAACUUCAAAACCAACAAUUAUUCUUCUUUAAAAAACACAUUUUUCGAGCGGAGAUCCAACCCCCACCCCAGUUCACAUUUCGGCCAAAUUUUCUUUGUGAGAGCGCUGCUUCAAGUUUUGUCCAUUUAAUAAAUUCUUGUUCUGUGAAUUGUAUUCUUGAA
rnacentral:misc_RNA from 1 species